AGAAUGGCAACGGUGUUGGUCUUAUGGCCAUACGCUGUUCGCAAUGGAUGUUAUUCCAAAACGCUCAGUGAGUAUCGAUUGGAGGGCAAGUCUGGUGCCAGCAGCCGCGGUAAUUCCAGCUCCAAUAGUGUAUACAAAUGUUGCUGCUGUUAAAACGCUCGUAGUUGAUUGCAGAGUGACAGGUGCUGCUUCUGAUCACUUCGGUGGUCAUCAAGGAAGUGGCAAUGCCAGUUACUCGCCUGAUGCGGAAUCAGUCUCAUGGUUGGAGCUGUCUUCACUGACGGUGUCCAGCAGCAUCUGCACGACAGUCAUGCUAUGGCUUUCCAAAGAGAGUGUCCGCUGAAAGUACCGUGAACAAAACAGUGUGUUCAAAGCAGCCCAUCUGUUGGCUGCAUGACAAAGCACGGGAUGCUAACGGAUCGACCGCAAGGAUUGCUCUGUUCUGCCAGUCUUUGGCUCCUUAUGGGAAAUCUGAUGGCUUGGUGCUUUCGGUCUUGUGGUUCAGCUCUACGGAGUCGUUCUGCUUGCUGAUAUGCUACCAGUCAUCGUUCGGAACUGAAGAGUCUACUCGGGGCCCAGCAUACCGCCAAGCGAGAGGUGAAAUUCUUGGACCUUGGCGUGAUGAACUACAGCGAAAGCACUGUUGGCAAGUGCAUGACUGUCAAUCAAGAACGAGAGUGUGGGGAUCGAAGAUGAUCAGAUACCGUCGUAGUCCACUUCUGUAAACUGUGCCGGCUGAGCAUGGGCAAUGAUCUUCUCUCAAGAUGUUCUUGUCCGCUCUUUCCUCCCNACAACGAGAAAUCCAAGCUUAUGGGUUCAGGGGGGAGUACAUUCGCAAGGCUGAAACUUGAAGGAAUUGACGGAAUGACACCACCAGGCGUGGAGUCUGCGGCUUAAUUUGACUCAACGCGGGAAAUGUUACCGGGUCAGGACGCAGCAAUGAUGGACAGAUUGAGAGCUCUUUCUUGAUUCUUCGGAUGGUGGUGCAUGGCCGUUCCUGGUUCGUGGAGUGAUCUGUCUGGUUGAUUCCGUUAACGAGCGAGAUCUUUGCCUCUCCAUAGUGACCAUGUCGAUCGUAAGACUGGUGCCGUUUUGACUUCCUUCGGGUUGCCGAGACUGGUACUGUCUGAGACGUGGCUUUCAACUUCUCAGAUGAUCCGCCAGUGCUUCCAAGCUGGCGUAAGCAAAAGGCGACAGCAGGUCUGUGAUGCCCCUAAAUGUUCCGGGCCGCACGCGCACGACAUUGAGGCUUACUGCAAGCCUGACUGUGUCUUUAUGGCCAGUCAUCCUGAACUGAAAGACUUUCUGGGAAAUCUGCUCACAAGGCGCGUAACUGGAAUUGAUGGUUGCAAUUAUUUGUCAUGAACGAGGAAUGCCUAGUAUGCGUGGCUCAUCAGGCCACACAGAUUGAGUCCCUGCCAUUUGUACACACCGCCCGUCGUUCCUACCGAUGAUGGAUGAAUUGAGGUUUCAGAAGGCUAUUGAAGAUCACAAUGUGAUCAGAUCGGUUGAAUUUGCCCAAAAUUCCUCUGCUAGAGGAAGGAAAAGUCGUAACAAGGUUGCU
rnacentral:rRNA from 1 species